GAAAAGCACUCAGAGAGCGCAGACCUCUGCCAGGCCCUUCUUAAGAAUAAGGCAGGUUAAGGUUACGCAGUAGAACUGAUAUGGCCAAGGCUCCAAAUGUAAUUUUGGAUAUUUCCUGGAAGUUUCAUGAAAAUCUGACCACUACUUUUUGUGUUGCUAAAUAACCAACAAACUGACAAACCAACGGCAACGAUUACCGGCACAGUUAACUACUAGAACUAUAAACAAAAUGAUUAAGCCUUAAAUCACAGACAUCUACCAUUUGAAACCGUGUGCGUGGGUGUUGCUGUAUACUGUAUUUGGUGCAUGUAAUGGUACUAGAGCUGUAUCGUUAAGAACUCAAAUGACAUCCGUCUGCGGCUUCCUUCCACCUCCAAAGACAUGCACCUGGGGAUAGGUUGAUUGGCAAUCUGUGUUAGUUUAUCUGUGUUGGCCCUGCGUUGAGGUGGCGACUUGUCCAGGGUGUACCCCGCCUUCCGGCACUAACUUUAACCAUUAUAUAAGUACAUAUUUGAUUGUCCAAAUACAAUAUUUUAAAAUAAACUAGAUAAGGCAAUUCCCGAAGGAAUUGCGUGUCAAUGCUUCAAUGCUGAAGUUGAACUGAAAUGCAGAUAGAAAUUAGUAUAAAUGUAAAAAUAGUUUAAAUGUUGGUAUGGUUUGAAUGUUGAAGAAGCGUUUGAAUUUACAGGAAAACGGGAAUUUGGUUUGGAACUUGGGAAAGAGUUAGUUUGAUGUGGAGCUCUUGCUCCUCCGGGUUCUUUGGACCACCAAGGACGGACAUGACAGCCUCGUUCAUGGUUAAGAACAAUUCAUUAUUUUUCAAUAAUAGUCUCUUCUUGUGCUUUUCCGCCAUCAGGUCUUGCCAGUUCUGUCCGUCUCGCUCUCACUCUCGUUCGUGCUCGUGCUCGUGUUCCACCAUCAACAACUCUUCUCUCCUUCCCAACUGCUGCCUUUAACAGAGCGACAGGUCAUCAGACAAACACUCCCAGCUGGGUCAUCUACACACCUGUCGCUGAUCUCGAAGCCGGUCCUGACACACCCCGCUUCGCUGCAGUGCGCAUUCAUCUGUGUGCUACGCUGAGCGCAGCUCCGAGAGCGCGCAUCAGACCGGCGUCAGCAAGCAGCUGCAAUCAAUCGCCGGCAAUCUACGCACCUGGCGCUAAUGAGUGGUCCUGCCUUCAAGUAACUGCUCAACCUGCUAUCCGUCGGCACAACAUAACCUUCUGUUGAUGUCCCUCUGCCUUUGUUCCAAGUGUCGAGCUGUGCGUCUCGUCAUUCCUCGUUUCUCCCCCUGCUUCCCGGACUGCCUCUUGGGUCCCGACCUCCCGCUUGGACACGGACCUUCUCUGCCUAGCCCCUUUGGAUUUGUCCGCUUUCUCACUCAUCACUCUGGUAACACUCAUUAAUUAAUUCCUACACAUAGUGUUACACCAUAUACCCUUUGGGUUUUG